rnacentral:rRNA from 1 species
UGGGGAAUAUUGCACAAUGGGCGCAAGCCUGAUGCAGCCAUGCCGCGUGUAUGAAGAAGGCCUUCGGGUUGUAAAGUACUUUCAGCGGGGAGGAAGGUGUUGAGGCUAAUAACCUCAGCAAUUGACGUUACCCGCAGAAGAAGCACCGGCUAACUCCGUGCCAGCAGCCGCGGUAAUACGGAGGGUGCAAGCGUUAAUCGGAAUUACUGGGCGUAAAGCGCACGCAGGCGGUCUGUCAAGUCGGAUGUGAAAUCCCCGGGCUCAACCUGGGAACUGCAUUCGAGACUGGCAGGCUAGAGUCUUGUAGAGGGGGGUAGAAUUCCAGGUGUAGCGGUGAAAUGCGUAGAGAUCUGGAGGAAUACCGGUGGCGAAGGCGGCCCCCUGGACAAAGACUGACGCUCAGGUGCGAAAGCGUGGGGAGCAAACA